CCGAGGGUAUUCCGGGGAUAGCGGUAAAAUGCGUAGAUCCCCGGAGGACCACCAGUGGCGAAGGCGCUCGGCUGGAACGCGUCCGACGGUGAGGGACGAAAGCUGGGGGAGCAAACCGGAUUAGAUACCCGGGUAGUCCCAGCCGUAAACGAUGCCGGCUAGGUGCCGGCCGAGGUUUCGGCCUCGGCCGGUGUCGAAGCGAAGGCGUUAAGCCGGCCGCCUGAGGAGUACGGCCGCAAGGCUGAAACUUGAAGGAAUUGACGGGGGGGCACCACAAGGGGUGAACGCCUGCGGCUCAAUUGGACUCAACGCCGGGAAUCUUACCGGGGGCGACAGCAGGAUGAAGGUCAGGCUGAAGACCUUACCUGACGCGCUGAGGGGUGGUGCAUGGCCGUCGCCAGCUCGUGCCGUGAGGUGUCCUGUUAAGUCAGGCAACGAGCGAGACCCCCGCCCCUAGUUGCCAGCGGGGCCCUUCGGGGCUGACCGGGCAAACUAGGGGGACUGCCGGCGAAGAGCCGGAGGAAGGAGGGGGCUACGGCAGGUCAGUAUGCCCCUAAUCCCCCGGGCCGCACGCGGGCUGCAAUGGGCGGGACAGCGGGAUGCGACCCCGAGAGGGGGGGCUAACCCCUUAAACCCGCCCGUAGUUGGGAUCGAGGGCUGCAACUCGCCCUCGUGAACCCGGAAUCCCUAGUAACNNCGGUCUCCAUACCGCGGGAAUA
rnacentral:rRNA from 1 species